AUUGAACGCUGGCGGCAGGCUUAACACAUGCAAGUCGAGCGGAGCGAGGGUGCUUGCACCUUAGCUUAGCGGCGGACGGGUGAGUAAUGCUUAGGUAUCUGCCUAUUAGUGGGGGACAACAUUCCGAAAGGAAUGCUAAUACCGCAUACGCCCUACGGGGGAAAGCAGGGGAUUUUCGGACCUUGGACUAAUAGAUGAGCCUAAGUCGGGUUAGCUAGUUGGUGGGGUAAAGGCCUACCAAGGCGACGAUCUGUAGCGGGUCUGAGAGGAUGAUCCGCCACACUGGGACUGAGACACGGCCCAGACUCCUACGGGAGGCAGCAGUGGGGAAUAUUGGACAAUGGGCGGAAGCCUGAUCCAGCCAUGCCGCGUGUGUGAAGAAGGCCUUUUGGUUGUAAAGCACUUUAAGCGAGGAGGAGGCUACUUAGAUUAAUACUCUGGGAUAGUGGACGCUACUCGCAGAAUAAGCACCGGCUAACUCUGUGCCAGCCGCCGCCGUAA
rnacentral:rRNA from 1 species